GUGCUCACUUUGGCAGCAUAUAUACUAAAACUGGAAAGAUACAGAAAUGACUAGUAUGGCCCCUGCCCAAGGAUGACAUGCAAAUUCAUGAAUUGGCCCAUUAAAAA